rnacentral:rRNA from 1 species
AUAGCGAACAAGUACCGUGAGGGAAAGAUGAAAAGAUCUUUGAAAAGAGAGUUAAACAGUACGUGAAAUUGUUGAAAGGGAAACGAUUGAGGCCAGUCAUGCCUGCGAGAAAUCAAUCAGUUGAUCGAGUUUUCGAAUUUGAUUUGUUGGUGCACUUUUUCGCGUGGCAGGUUAGCAUCAACUUUGAUGGUUGUAAAAUGGUGGUCGGAAGGUGACUCUUUUUGGAGUGUUAUAGCCGGCUGCAGAUGCAACGAUUGGGGUUGAGGUUUGCGGCAAAUGCCUUUGGGCUACUUACCUUCCUUCUGAUCUGUUCACUUUGAAAUGACAGCUUGCUGACAUUUUAGGGGGCGUUCAAUCAAUAGGGUAGAGUAGGAUAUAUUUGCCAAGGAUGCUGACGUAAUGACCUUAAACGACCCGUCUUGAAACACGGACCAAGGAGUCUAACAUACGUGCGAGUGUUUGGGUGGCAAACCCAUGCGCGAAAUGAAGGUGAACGUAGGUGGGAUCUGUCGUUUCACGGCAGUGCAGCAUCGACC